GCCAGGGUGGCAUAGUGGUUUGAGUGUUGGACUAGGACUCUGGAGAUCAGGGUUCAAGUCCCAGCUCAGCCA
rnacentral:tRNA from 1 species